rnacentral:tRNA from 1 species
UGUGCAGUGGUGCAAAUGGAAGCAACUGGCUUGUGCGAAGUUCGAUUCUUCCGUAUUGCUGUUGGGAGCAAAGCUGGAGAUGCAGGUUCGAAUCCUGCCUGCGCAU